AUGUUAAUAAUCGUUAGAAAAACUCACUUGUCCCUGCUGGCAGCAGCUUUCUCUCUUGCUUCUUGUAUUUUUUCUUUAUCACGGUAAUACCCUUGACUUAAACGGUGAAAAACGGACGGAGUUAACCAGUCAAGUGAAAAUGGUACGAUUUCAAACCUUUUGGAUCCAAAUGUGAAGAAAAAAACAUUCGGACAUUAGUCGCAAAACUGGUUAAACCUAAGGGACGAAAUACAUUUUACUCUAAAAUAUUUACCAAACAAUUACGAUUGUACGAAAACCUACCAAAAAGAAUUAAUCUUGAAAAUAUGCUAGAAUAAAAGAACGCAAAGACGCCAAAAAGAAUCAUUUUCUUGAAGAAAAAAUGACUCCAUGGGUAAGUUUUGGCUCACUCUCUUUUCCAUGACAAAACUACCCUUGACAAAAAACCGUGAGAUAUUUUAAGUAUUUACAGAAAAAGGGUAUAAAUGUAAAAACCUUGUACACGUGGCGCCAGUUCUUCCCAGUAUCGCUGAGACG
rnacentral:lncRNA from 1 species